ensembl:lncRNA
UAGGCUGUUUGCUUCCUGCUAUUUGUGCCUUAAGGGGGGGUCACACUGCACUUUUCGUUCCAUUGACUUCGAUUCAUACGCAUGCGAAUGCGUCAGACCGGAAACGCAAGAUCAUGCGAAAAAUUUCGCAUUUCGCUGCGUUCCAAGGUUCAAAUUUGGUGAACUCUGACCUGCGAAUUCGCAUCACGUGAAGACGGGGGAUCAGUGGAAUAUCAAUACGUCACUGCGUGACCUCUCUGUACAGAAAUUCAAAAAUUAAGGAAGCGCUAAUUUUAGCCUUAGCGCAGCAUCCUAUUUUAUAUAAUACAUCUUUAAAAGAUUAUUAAAAAAAAAACUGCAUGGUUCGCAGUGUCAAUGGAAACAGGAACAGAUGGUACAUUUGAAUGAGGACACAUUUUAUAAUUUUUUAUUGCUUAGUGUGUAUGUAUUUAUAUAGAGAGAGAGACAGACAGAGAGUAAAAUAUAAUAAAACGCUUUCGACGCCGUCGCAAAAGGCACAGUACAAGCACAUUAAUCCAUGUUGUGAUAACUGAGGGGAGACCGUUAACCUGCUCCCGCCCAUAUUCGCAGCGUUGUCCGAAAAAAUUUCGCACGUUCAAAGUCUAGUGUGACCGCCCCUUUACUGAAGAGGAAGAGGAGGAGAUGAAACCGAAGAGAAGGCCAAAGCCAAUUCAUUUCUUUGGAGACACAGAUGAUGACAGUGAGGAGGAAGGUCAUCCUCAUAAGAAGAGAGCCAGGGGUCCAGCCAAACUCUUAACCGAACCACCAGCUCCUGUUAUCUCUCCACCAGCUCCUGUUAUAUCAACACCGCCUUUUAUCCCAAGUAGCGGCACAGCUGCUCCUCCUCCACUCACUUCACCACCUCACUGUGCACAGACACCAGCAGAAGAGCAAACCCCUUCUACAAGAAAGGUCUACAGACCAACCUGGCGUGGGGGGAAGAUGUGGAUCAGACAGUAUCGCCUGCUCUGCUGCAGAAGUCCACAUUAUGAGUUUACUGGAAUUAAUAAAACACCAGCAGGAGCAAAUAAUUGCUAAAGUAAAUUAUUUGACGAGCAAGUUGAACCCAGCAGGCCAAGACAUGGAAAUGCCUGAGAACCCGGUAGAUUUUCCAUUAACAUCAAUAGAGGAAGUGGAGAAUUUUGAGGAGUGGCUCAGAAAUCCCGCAAAUAAUCAAAUAAAGUUGAGUGUGGUGAGUGUUUUUUUUUUUUU